rnacentral:tRNA from 1 species
CCCCCCAUAGCUCAGUGGCUAGAGCGUUCGGCUGUAGACCGAAAGGUCCCCGGUUCAAGUCUGGGUGGGGGGA